UACGGGGGGAGCAAGCGUUGUUCGGAUUUACUGGGCGUAAAGGGCGCGUAGGCGAUUUGAAAAGUCUUGUGUGAAAGCCCCGAGCUUAACUCGGGAAGUGCACAAGAAACUGUUGAAUUUGAGUUCCGGAGAGGAAGGCAGAAUUCCCGGUGUAGCGGUGAAAUGCGUAGAUAUCGGGAGGAAUACCAGUGGCGAAGGCGGCCUUCUGGACGGAUACUGACGCUGAGGCGCGAAAGCCAGGGGAGCAAACGGG
rnacentral:rRNA from 1 species